CGUUAAAACACCGGUUCUGGUACGCUCACAGAAAUUAAGCAACAUUGAGUCGGGUCAGUACCUAGAUGGGUAACCGUUUGGGAAUACCUGGUGCUGUAAU